UACGGGGGGGGUAAGCGUUGUUCGGAAUUACUGGGCGUAAAGGGCUCGUAGGCGGCCAACUAAGUCAGACGUGAAAUCCCUCAGCUUAACUGGGGAACUGCGUCUGAUACUGGAUGGCUUGGAUUUGGGAGAGGAAUGCGGAAUUCCAGGUGUAGCGGUGAAAUGCGUAGAUAUCUGGAGGAACACCGGUGGCGAAGGCGGCAUUCUGGACCAAUAUUGACGCUGAGGAGCGAAAGCCAGGGGAGCAAACGGG
rnacentral:rRNA from 1 species